GUACCUGGUAGUCCACGCUGUAAACGAUGUCGACUUGGAGGUUGUUCCCUUGAGGAGUGGCUUCCGGAGCUAACGCGUUAAGUCGACCGCCUGGGGAGUACGGCCGCAAGGUUAAAACUCAAAUGAAUUGACGGGGGCCCGCACAAGCGGUGGAGCAUGUGGUUUAAUUCGAUGCAACGCGAAGAACCUUACCUACUCUUGACAUCCAGAGAACUUAGCAGAGAUGCUUUGGUGCCUUCGGGAACUCUGAGACAGGUGCUGCAUGGCUGUCGUCAGCUCGUGUUGUGAAAUGUUGGGUUAAGUCCCGCAACGAGCGCAACCCUUAUCCUUUGUUGCCAGCGGUUCGGCCGGGAACUCAAAGGAGACUGCCAGUGAUAAACUGGAGGAAGGUGGGGAUGACGUCAAGUCAUCAUGGCCCUUACGAGUAGGGCUACACACGUGCUACAAUGGCAUAUACAAAGAGAAGCGACCUCGCGAGAGCAAGCGGACCUCAUAAAGUAUGUCGUAGUCCGGAUCGGAGUCUGCAACUCGACUCCGUGAAGUCGGAAUCGCUAGUAAUCGUGGAUCAGAAUGCCACGGUGAAUACGUUCCCGGGCCUUGUACACACCGCCCGUCACACCAUGGGAGUGGGUUGCAAAAGAAGUAGGUAGCUUAAC
rnacentral:rRNA from 1 species